GCGGGAUGACGCUGUCCAACAUCGACGCCCUGAGCCGCGACGAAGCCCGCCGGCUGAGUCCGCAGGAAGUCGAUCC
rnacentral:tRNA from 1 species